rnacentral:lncRNA from 1 species
UGAAAGACAGGUUAUGGCACUCAUAAAUGUCCUGCUGUGCCACAUUUCAGUGGAAGUCCAGGCAAGAAGCCCCAGCAAGCACUUCGUAUGCCCUAACUUUGCCAGAGAACAAAGCCCCCUAAAUCCCCAAUUUAUCAUCUAAAUAUUGUAUCAGCUGAAAAGUCCUUUGGGCAAAAGGUUACCUCAGAAAAAAAAAAGUCAUCAAACCUGAAAGAUCACAUUUGGCCUUGCUUAUGUCAUCAAAGAGCGCAUCCUUCUCUAUAUCAGAAGGACAAUAAUCAUUGGAACAGCAUGCCAAGGACCUGUGCUGUCUUAGCCUGGCUAUUCCCCCAGCCUUAAGUUUGCUUGGGGAAGCAGACAACAGAGUGGUUUGAGCGCUGGCAUCCAAACUAACACCUCAUCCCCCAACAAGCUGAAAAGGUCACCCAACGACGAUAAAAGAGAUACAGAAAUUCAUUCAUUUCCUGGCUAAAUCAUGACAUGGACGAUGUGGUCGAAUCGACUGGAGACCCACAAGUCUAAAGACGAGGUUUUUUGGUUAUCUUUUUCUUUGCAGAGAAACUGGCAUACUUUCACCAGUCUUGUAAUAUUUUUCCUUUGUGUUUUGCAUUCAACAUUUAUUUUUUUUCCAUUGUUGUUUACAUGCUUCUCUCACUGUACUAUGCUUGGAACUUUCUCUAAGGGAGAGGGAUGUUGAAAACAAUUAUUGUUUUUGUUAUGAAACAUGAACAGAUCUACAGGAUAAAAAUAGUAAGAAGUCAGUCUGCAGACUGAUGUUUGUGACAGAAGAAAUAGCCUGCAAAAUAAAUAAUAAAAUAAAUUCCCCCAAAAUGGAGGAUGGGUUGCAAUGUAGACUUCAACUACAUGAAGGAAAACGUACUACAAGAUAACUGUUCCCUAGGCCAAACUAAAUAUGAACCAGAUGAGCUGCUAUAGACUGGCAUUUACCCGAUUAGAUAACGUAAAUAAACACAGGCGCGCGCGCACACACACACAAAGAUGUAUACGUGCUGACAUUUUUUUUUAAGACAAAUUUGGUAUCCUCAUUUAACCAUGAAAAUAAAAAUGAGUGCUAUUUAUUAAAAUAAAUUCUUCAUUUUCACUUUAAUCUCACACAUUAUUUAUAACAUAUUUUACAUUUGGUUGAGAGGUUAAAAACAGGCAUGAAAAGAAUGUUCAAGACCAUUUACAACCAUCCUUCCGCAAAGAAAUUCAUGAACAAUAUUAUCACAUAUAAACUUUUCCUACAGAUCAAUGUAUCUCAUCUCCAUAAACACACAAGAAUUUUAAAUCUCACUCACAAAAAGUUCUUCAAACUGAUUUUUUCACCUUUUUACUGAGAACCACAUACAUUCAGGCUUUGGCACCAAAAGUCAGCAUCAAGAAGACUGAACUUCUGAUAAACAUGGCUAAACUUAUAUGAUACUAAUUAUUGCCACGUUGUUUUAAUCAAAUCCAAGAUCACUGUUACCUCAGUAGGUUCUUUUUCUUCCCCUUUCCUUACCGUGUGUGCACAUCCACCUUCUACAUUUCUGCACAUAUGUUGGAGACUUCCAAAGGCUACUACCAUUGCUGCUGCCUCUAUUUGUAUGAGAAAUUUUGCUGCUUGGAAGGUCUCUAACAACUUCAUGAAAUUUAUAUCUAGUAUGUAGACAAAAGUGGUGAGUAUUUAGUGGACUGCAAGAAAGAAUGAGAAGCGCAGCUAUGACAGCAAGAGACAAAUUACACAUUACUAAAAAGUAUAAUUAUGCUGCCUUGGUUGAAAUUGCAGCUUUCAUCACCUUUCCAAAAGAACAAAACAUAACAUUGUGGCAAUGUUAAACUACUGAUAAUGGGAAUAUGAUGGUAACUGCAGUCUUGAGGAAAAUUAAAGUAUCCAACAAACAAGCAAUUGCAAACUUCCUUGAUGUUCAUGUGCAUACACACAAAUCUCAAGACUUUUAUCAUUCAUCGGAACCUAAGACAACAUACAGCUAAAGAUUCCUUGUAUUACUCUAAUCCUUCGCAAUACACAACCAAUCCGAACAAAUAAAAUUAUAUUCUCCUAACCAACUUCACCUCAAAACCAUCACCAAUGUGGGUUCAAAAUUAAAAUAAACCCCUGCCAGAAAGAAAACCAAUCAAAACUGAACAAAUGUUUCUCAGAUUAGCCUAUGGAAUGUAAAGAUUAACUAAGACCCAUAUCGUAGAUCAUCACAACUAGUAAACUGCAAGCAGAAUUUUAUAAAAUUAAAAUGUACACAGUAUAAGCAACAUGACACGCAUUAUCCAUCGCCAAAGAAUGUACAUAAUCAUCUGUCACUUCAAUAACCUGCAAUGUCUUUCAUUUUCUGAAAUUCUAAGUCCACUGUCUUCAAUAAAAUUGCUUGUCAGCAAGAGAU